UACGGAGGGUGCAAGCGUUAUCCGGAUUUACUGGGUUUAAAGGGUGCGUAGGCGGCCUAUUAAGUCAGUUCUGAAAUAUCCCGGCUUAACCGGGAGGGUGGGAUUGAUACUGAUGGGCUUGAGUGGAGUCGAGGUGGGCGGAAUUGACGGUGUAGCGGUGAAAUGCUUAGAUAUCGUCAAGAACACCGAUAGUGUAGACAGCUUACUAGACUUCAACUGACGCUGAGGCACGAAAGUGUGGGGAUCAAACAGG
rnacentral:rRNA from 1 species